AACGAACCGCCAGCUGCACCUCUGUUUUGUUAUUCUACUAUGUAAGAUACUCGUAAUGACAUUCUUUUCUCGUGAUGGACUAUAAAUUAAUUCAUGAAAAUUAUUAAACAAAAUACCCCUGCGCUGCGACUCACACUGGUGAAUGAACCGAUGGACCGUGUCUCUGUUCGCGCGUAACGUUUAACACCCCAUCUGCAAAAAGACGAGUGCAAUAGGAGGACUUCUGAGAAGUUCAC
rnacentral:lncRNA from 1 species